UGCAAAAACACCUACAUAUCCUGGAUCACCACUUCAGAACAGUCCCUCAGAGCUACCUGAGAGGCUGUCUCCCGGGCGUAAGUCCUCAAGUGCUUGACCGAAUCUCCCUCCGUAAAGUAGCACAAAUCCCCUUAUGUCCUGGGUGCUGGGGAGUGGAUAUCUGUCACACAGAGCUUCCUGGAUUUUCCCUCCUGGAUCACAGCUCUGAGAAGUCAUCAGAGGAGAAAAGUAGCUAAAAAACUGAAUGAUAAGACAAAUGAAAAUAUACAGCCACAUGAAAACUGGACCUGACGUUCACAGCAGCACUGUUCAUAAUCGCCCCGAAGUGGAA